CACACACACUUGUUGUAUUGUCGCCUUUCUUUUAUUUUUCCGAAAAUGCGAAAGGACGAUGGUACGACAUGGCGUAACUUAGCGACCUUGACAAAAAGGAGUGCGAUUUUUCGAAAAUUAAGUUCAUGACGUCACUCACUUACAUUAUUCUUUCGGGGAUGCUGUAUUACCUUUGUUGAUUGUCAAGCGUUUUUUUAGACAACCACAGCUUUCACAUUUAUUUAUAAAGUGAUUUACGUUAAUUGUAAUUUAGAUGGAAAAAUAAACUUAUUUUGUUUAUAUUGCAAACAGUACAAAGAGACAAUAUCGUUUUUGUUUGAUAACCGUAUUUUACCUUUAAUCUCAACAUGGACUAACCAAGUAGUGUGCGUGUCACUGUAUAGAUCUACAGAUCUAACUACAGUUGAACGUUGAGAUACCACGUCUUUUGUUCUCUUAAACAUUUAGGUGAUUUCAAACGAGACAAACAUGUUAUUUGACAAAAUAGGACUCGCUCUCUUAGGAUUAGCUUUAAUCUUAAAUAUUAUAGGCGUGGCAAUUCCAUAUUGGUUUUAUUUCUCUUUAACCGCGGAAGGUGAAACCUGGACUACAAAUUUUGGUCUAUGGAAGACAUGUGUGGCUGCAACAGCGGGCAAAGGCGGUACCUUAGUUACACAAUGCAUAAACUUCCACAACACGGACGGUUUUACUGUGCGUGGUAUUAGUGGAAAACCCUUUAACAAGCCUCACGUGUAAAUAUUUUUGCGCAUGCGCGCAAGGACGGAAUCCCCCAGAGAAAACAAGGUCACGUUUUGACGACGCACAGGUAAAAGUGAUUUAAAAUGAGACUUUUUAUAUGUAUUGUCGAACUGACACUUAGAUUUUGUCUCGUUAAUGUAUCUGCUUGAUUUGAAAUGAUUUUUGUAUUUUCUGAUCGCAAGAUCAGUAAAUACAUAGCUAACAUCCACGGUCUAACACAAAAUUUCCUAACAGUCCUAACAACGCAAAGUAGUUCUCACUCAAAACUGCUUAAAAACCAGCAAUUUAAAAGAAAGAACAAUUUUUUGUUACAAGUGUCCAACAAAUUACUUCACAUACAAACUUUAAAAGUAGCGUUGGCUUAUAGAAUUGUCAAUAAAUGCACACUCACAAAUUACGCGGAUGAAUAUGAUUUUAAUCGAUGAAAAUGCUAUUUUUAGCGAUGUCGAUUACCGAAUACUACACAAAUAAAUCUGACUGCCGAGUAGUUGAAUAUAUAGUUUCUACAUGUUGGACUGUUUGGGCGAGAAGAUUUUUGCUAAAUUAUUUACUUCAAUUUUAAACAACAGGUUUACCCUGAACAAAAUACCUCGAAAUUACCCUAACCCGAAAUGCAAUGGAAAUUCUAAAUUUAGAAUGACUUGAUUUUAUUCAGCCUCUGUUUUUAUAACUUCUCCGUGGUGCAGGGGUAACGCGCUCGUAAUGUGUGAGAGGCCUGGAGUUCAAAUCCCAGUCGAGUCAACAUUUUUUUAAAUUCUUUUUUUAGUGUCUUUGGAAAUAGCCACGAUAUGCAAGGAUAAAGUGUGGCUAUCAUAAAAAAAUGAACAUAAAUGAUUUUUUAGCAACGGAUAUACAUGUAUACAAUCAUUUAUAAUCCAUAUGUGUAAUGCAUGAUCAACACCACACUUGUGUAAUUGUCCCUUAUUAUGUAAUCGCUAUUAGCGAAGACCCCCUCUAAAGUUAUCUGUUCACACUUACUAACAAUAUGACACUGGUUACAUUACCAUGUUGAUCAUGCUGAGCAUAAUUGUUUAUUACACAAUAAUUGUAAUAUCUAUUUUAAUAAAAAAAAAUACAGAUUUUAUGAAUAUUGUUUUCUUUUCUUUUUUGUGUUUUAUGUGCUAUUUUAAUACUGAGUUUUUACGUUUACUACUAUUUUAAGAAUUCAAUUGUCAUAUUGACCGACGAUUAUAAGUAAAAACUUAACUGGAAAAAGUCAGUAAAUUAUGGUUAAACUUUUAAUAUAUAAUAUUGUUUAUUCUUAAAACAUAUACAUGUACAUUUGUAUUUCUCUUUAUCAUUUUUUAAAUUAUCAAUCAAUUGAAUAAUUCAUAAAAUCUAAUUUGUAACUUUGAAUAAUUCCUCGGCAUCUUUACUAAACACGAAUAACAAAUUAAAUAAAAUGUUUCAAAGUUGAUAGUGUCAUAUUAAUACCAUAAAAAUGUACCUUUUUUCUCAAUUAUUGUACAUAUUUAUUGUUUUUAUCUCAUAUAGAUAAAAUAAAACAUGUUAUUGUUGUUGUUGGUUUUUUUUUCGAAUUGUAUGUUUAUGUAUAAUAAUAAUCAAUAAAUUUGAGAGUUGA